UGAAGUAUAAUUUUGAAGGCUGAGAGGACAUGUCGCACAGUGCAGGUUGAAGUGAGGACACUUUGGCUGCAUCCCAUCAAGAUGGUUGGCAGCGGUAAGUAUGUAUAUGAGAGAAUGAGUUACUGUGGGGAAACAACCUCACUCAGAUGCUGUUCUCACAACAAACUCGGGAUCCACAAGGAUUUUCUAAGAGUGGGACCUCCACUGACCGAGGACCUUGACUAGCUUCCACUUUUAAGGUUCUGUCAGCUCCCACCACACCGGGCUCCCGUUUCCCAUACAGGAACCAUUUAAACAAAAUGCCUGCCAGUUCUGAACUGUGUUGAACAAGGUUGGAAAGGGAAUUCGACUCCCCGCCUGCUCCUAAGUCUGCAUCCUGAAAUGUUUCAGACAACCUGCUGGAGGCGAUUGUCAAGGCCACCAGACCUGGGUAUAAAGCCACGAGAGGUCGUGGGACCCUGAAAAGGCUGAAGAGGCCACAUAAUGACAGAGUGGGCAAACCCAUCCAGGUACACAUGCCUGAAGCGUGCAUGGGUGCAGAAGCAGAAGACAGCCUUAUGGAGUUGGUUCCUGUCCAUGUCACGUACUUUCUGAUGAGAGCACUGUCGGCAGGCACCCUUACCCACUGAGCCAUCUUGCCAGCCCGGGGAUAUUUUUGUCAGAGGACAACUUACAGGAGUCUGUUAUCUCUCUCUGCCAUUUGGGUCCUGGGAACCAAACUCAUGCUGUCUGGCUUGGCGGCAAACACCUUUACCUGCAGAGCCUCCCACCAGCCCUGCCGCUCCUCAGACAAGUAUCACACUCCAGGCUAACUUCAAAGGUAUCGGGCUGGAGAGAUGGCUCAGCGGUUACAAGCACUGACUGCUCUUCCAGAGGUCCUGAGUUCAAUUCCCAGCAACCACAUGGUGGCUCACAACCAUCCAUAAUUCUGUAAUGGGAUGCAGUGGGUCUUCUGGUGGGGUCUGAAGGAAGCAACAGUGUAACUCACAUACAUUAAGUAAAUAAAUCUUUAAAUCCAGGUAGCACUUGAAGACUGGCAGGAGGAUCAGUCAUUAUUAUUUCAAGGCCUGCUUGGUCUAUAGAAUAAGAUUCUUGUCUUGAUUGGAAGGAAAUAAAUGAUGGAGAGAGAAGAGAAAGGAGGAGGAACAGCUCAGCCAUUAGGAGCAUCGCUCUUGGAGAGGAAACUGGCCCAGGGCCCAGAACUG